GGGUACCGACCGAGAGGAACACGUCUGCUUUUUCAAGACCAGCAAUGCUACUUCUCAUCAGAUGUCUUGAUUGCAGAUUAGCAUCAGCUGAUACUAUUCACAACUGGGAUCCACUAUGAAGAAGUGGAUUUGUUUAGUUGAACAUAUCUUACUUUCCCAUUCUUCUGGGGAUUGGAAGCGCCAUAUGGCAUUCUAUGAAGAGAGAAGUUUUUUUCGGGCAGUCAAAAUGAUCAGCUCUAUUAUAGUUGAGUUAUAAAAUAUA